rnacentral:rRNA from 1 species
AUUGAACGCUGGCGGCAGGCCUAACACAUGCAAGUCGAGCGGAUGAAGGGAGCUUGCUCCUGGAUUCAGCGGCGGACGGGUGAGUAAUGCCUAGGAAUCUGCCUGGUAGUGGGGGAUAACGUCCGGAAACGGGCGCUAAUACCGCAUACGUCCUGAGGGAGAAAGUGGGGGAUCUUCGGACCUCACGCUAUCAGAUGAGCCUAGGUCGGAUUAGCUAGUUGGUGGGGUAAAGGCCUACCAAGGCGACGAUCCGUAACUGGUCUGAGAGGAUGAUCAGUCACACUGGAACUGAGACACGGUCCAGACUCCUACGGGAGGCAGCAGUGGGGAAUAUUGGACAAGGGGCGAAAGCCUGAUCCAGCCAUGCCGCGUGUGUGAAGAAGGUCUUCGGAUUGUAAAGCACUUUAAGUUGGGAGGAAGGGCAGUAAGUUAAUACCGUGCUGUUUUGACGUUACCAACAGAAUAAGCACCGGCUAACUUCG